GAAGGAUACAGGCCGACUGACAGCUCUUAAGCUGAUUGCGUUUUGAUAAGACUCUUUAACGAGCAGACGACACAAAAAGGACAACAGGACAACGAGGACAACCAGGACACGUGCUCAACACCAACAACAACUGGAUGCAACCACUGACCAGCGGGCGAUACGUUGCCAACGUGACGAUCCACACAAUCAGCAGCAGGAACAGCAACCAGUUGGUCAAAUCAGGACCAGGAGGAAGUGCAGGAAGUGGAGGAAGAGGAGGAGGAGGGAAGGCCAAUAAAAAAGCUAACGAAAAUGCUGAUGGCUCUGGCAGUCGACAGGCGAUACCAGCACCACCAUCAGCAACGGCAACAGCAACAGCAACAACAACAACAACGGACGCAACCGCAACAAAAACAAAACUGGCAAAGUUGAACUCAGUUCGUCUCCAUAGCCAGAAGCCAGAGAACGA